rnacentral:rRNA from 1 species
CCUACGUGUGGCAGCAGUGGGCACUAUUUCGCAAUGGGCGAAAGCCUGACGCAGCGACGCCGCGUGAGGGAUGAAGGUCUUCGGAUCGUAAACCUCUGUCAGCAGGGAAGAACGGUCACUGUGCUAAUCAGCAGUGAAUUGACGGUACCUGCAAAGGAAGCACCGGCUAACUCCGUGCCAGCAGCCGCGGUAAUACGGAGGGUGCGAGCGUUAAUCGGAAUUACUGGGCGUAAAGCGCUCGUAGGCGGUAUGUCAAGUCAAGGGUGAAAUCCCCGCGCUCAACGUGGGAACUGCCUUUGAAACUGGCAAACUGGAGUGUGUGAGAGGAUAGUGGAAUUCCAGGUGUAGGAGUGAAAUCCGUAGAUAUCUGGAGGAACAUCAGUGGCGAAGGCGACUAUCUGGCACAUAACUGACGCUGAGGAGCGAAAGCGUGGGUAGCAAACAGGAUUAGAUACCCCGGUAGUC